GAUGAACGCUGGCGGCGUGCCUAAUACAUGCAAGUCGAGCGAAUGGAUUAAGAGCUUGCUCUUAUGAAGUUAGCGGCGGACGGGUGAGUAACACGUGGGUAACCUGCCCAUAAGACUGGGAUAACUCCGGGAAACCGGGGCGAAUACCGGAUAACAUUUUGAACCGCAUGGUUCAAAAUAGAAAGGCGGAUUCGGCUGUCACUUAUGGAUGGACACGCGUCGCAUUCGCUAGUUGGUGAGGUAACGGCUCACCAAGGCAACGAUGCGUAGCCGACCUGAGAGGGUGAUCGGACACACGGGGACUGGGACACGGCCCAGACUCCUACGGGAGGCAGCAGUAGGGAAACUUCCGCAAUGGACGAAAGUCUGACGGAGCAACGCCGCGUGAGUGAUGAAGGCUUUCGGGUCGGAAAACUCUGUUGUUAGGGAAGAACAAGUGCUAGUUGAAUAAGCUGGCACCUUGACGGUACCUAACCAGAAAGCCACGGCUAACUACGUGCCAGCCGCCGCCGUAA
rnacentral:rRNA from 1 species